GUCAACAACACGCAAGCUCUGUGUUCGCCAAUGUACUUGGAAAUGAAAAUAUACACAAUAUUGUAGUAUGAACAUGUUAAGAUCAGCAGCGUGCGGUGCCCCUUCAUCUCGGUGGGGCAGAAACUACUGGCGUAUGACCACACCCACAAUGUAUAUAUAUUUUUAACAUGUAUAUUUUGAGCUACAUUAAAACAUGUUAACUAAACUAAUUGUGAGUAAGAAUUAAAAAUAAACGAAUAGCCUAAUGUUACUGCACGCUUAUGAAGUGCCAUCCGCAACACUAGUCAUAUGAUGUUGGACUAAUUAGAAUAGCCCAUGUGCAAUGGUAACACCAACUCUGCAAAGUAACAAUUUUCAAAGGACAAAUACGACAUUAUAGGUAAGUUAUUUCUUCCAUAUUUUAUUUUAACAAUCUACCAACAAUUUAACAACAGGCUUAGCGAGUGCAUUUCAAAUACAUGAAAAGUAGAAAUACAAGUCAUCAUUAAUCAAGCAGACCUUCGAUUUGGAACUUGGCCCGACGAUGUUUGCAAAUCUCUCAGUAACAACACUUUUGAAAACAGGUAUUUCUCAAUAACAGCUGUUUAAAUCAGGUAUGAAUCAGAAUCAGAAUCAGAAAGGAUUUAAUUGCCAAGAAGGGUUUUACACCAACCAGGAAUUUGGCUUGGUGAUUAAGGUGCAUACAUUAAGACAAUAACAAUGAACAAUGAAGAAGAGCCAUAUAAACAAGCAGGGACAUAAGAGAUCAAUUAAAAUAGGAUAAAAUAGAAUAAAUUAAAAACUAAAGUAAAAGAUACUUAAAAAUGUGUAAGAAUUUACAAAUUGUUAAUGGGUAUGAGUGCCAGAGUCAGUGUCAGUCAGUGGGGGUGGUGGUCCUGGGACCUGUUAAGGAUCCCAACUGAAGAGGGGAAGAAACUGUUCAAGUGGCGGGAGGUUUUGGUCCUAAUGGACCGCAGCAUCCUGCCAGAGGGGAGAGUUCCAAAUAAACUGUGACCAGGAUGGGAGGGGUCGGCCAUAAUCCUGCCUGCCCGCCUCAGAGCCCUGGAGCUGUGCAGGUAGCCUACAAUUUUCAUACCUGCUGAAAUAAAUAAAAAAUAGGCUUCAAUGCCGAAAGAUACAGGCGGAGUAAUUCGACAACAACAGUCCUAGAAUAUGACCAUGGGGCAGACUACUUUACGACCAUAUGGGCGUCUUAUAGCGCGGAUUGCAAUUCUUAUUGCAGCCUGCAGGGUUAUGCGAGAAACAUACGGAGGGACGCGGUCGUUGAGCUCCGCCGCCCCACAUUGCAUGACACGUUAAACAGAACUCAACUCGAAUCGCCACCAUCAAUUUGAUAUCAACAGACCAAAAAUAGUCGGAAAGCCUACAGAAACAAUAGAUAGUUAAUGUGACAAUCACAUUAUGAAAAAUAAACUUGGAGCAAUGAUUUACUGAGGAACAAUUCUUUUGGGAGCAUG
ensembl:lncRNA